AAAAUUUCCAUGAUUAGACAGGUGUGGACAUAAUGCAUGGGAGAUGUUUGUUGUAGUACUGGAGAGACUGGGUCCACAGCCCUCUAGGAGGUAAGUAAAACAUAAGUGGCCUUAUGUUUGAGACCAAGGUUGACGAUCAGUAAUGAAAGAGGACUGUUUUGAAGGUGAAGGGCAAAAGUAAGAUCAGGGUCUAACCAGGGUUGAGCAACUGGGCCUGGUAACUGAGAAAUCUAUCCAAAGGCAAUAAGGCAAAACUCUCUGAUCCAAAACUCAG